AUUGAACGCUGGCGGCAGGCUUAACACAUGCAAGUCGAACGGUAACAUAAAGGAGCUUGCUUCUUUGAUGACGAGUGGCGGACGGGUGAGUAAUGCUUGGGAAUCUAGCUUAUGGAGGGGGAUAACUACGGGAAACUGUAGCUAAUACCGCGUAGCAUCGGGAGACGAAAGUGUGGGACCUUCGGGCCUCAUGCCUUAGGAUGAGCCCAGGUGGGAUUAGGUAGUUGGUGAGGUAACGGCCCACCAAGCCGACGAUCUCUAGCUGGUCUGAGAGGAUGACCAGCCACACUGGGACAGAGACACGGCACAGACUCCUACGGGAGGCAGCAGUGGGGAAUAUUGCGCAAGGGGGGCAACUCUGACGCAGCCAUGCCGCGUAAAUAAAGAAGGCCUUCGUGGUGUAAAGUUCUUUCGGUAGCGAGGAAGGCAUUUAGUAUAAUAGACGAGGUGAUUGACGUUAACUACAGAAGAAGCACCGGCUAACUCCG
rnacentral:rRNA from 1 species